rnacentral:rRNA from 1 species
AUUGAACGCUGGCGGCGUGCUUAACACAUGCAAGUCGAGCGGUAACAGGUGUAGCAAUACAUGCUGACGAGCGGCGAACGGGUGAGUAAUGCUUCGGAAUCUUCCUAGUAGUGGGGAAUAACCUGGGGAAACUCAGGCUAAUACCGCAUACGAACUACGGUUGAAAGCAGGGGAUCGCAAGACCUUGCGCUAUUAGAUGAGCCGAAGUCGGAUUAGCUAGUUGGUGAGGUAAAGGCUCACCAAGGCGACGAUCAGUAGCGGGUCUGAGAGGAUGAUCCGCCACACUGGGACUGAGACACGGCCCAGACUCCUACGGGAGGCAGCAGUGGGGAAUUUUGGACAAUGGGCGCAAGCCUGAUCCAGCCAUGCCGCGUGUCUGAAGAAGGCCUUCGGGUUGUAAAGGACUUUUGUCCGGGAGCAAAUGCUGGUGGCUAACAUCCACCGGAGCUGAGAGUACCGGAAGAAUAAGCACCGGCUAACUACGUGCCAGCCGCCGCCGUAACAC